rnacentral:rRNA from 1 species
GACAGGGGGGGCAAGCGUUGCUCGGAAUCACUGGGCGUAAAGGGUGCGUAGGCGGGUCUUUAAGUCAGGGGUGAAAUCCUGGAGCUCAACUCCAGAACUGCCUUUGAUACUGAAGAUCUUGAGUUCGGGAGAGGUGAGUGGAACUGCGAGUGUAGAGGUGAAAUUCGAUAGAUAUGGGGAGGAAACACCGGUGGCGAAGGCAGCUCACUGGGACGAUACUGACGCUGAGGAGCGAAAGCAGGGGA